UGGGGAAUCUUAGACAACGGGGGAAACCCUGAUCUAGCCAUGCCGCGUGAGCGAUGAAGGCCUUAGGGUUGUAAAGCUCUUUCAGCUGGGAAGAUAAUGACGGUACCAGCAGAAGAAGCCCCGGCUAACUCCGUGCCAGCAGCCGCGGUAAUACGGAGGGGGCUAGCGUUGUUCGGAAUUACUGGGCGUAAAACGCACGUAGGCGGAUUAGUCAGUCAGAGGUGAAAUCCCAGGGCUCAACCCUGGAACUGCCUUUGAUACUGCUAGUCUUGAGGUCGAGAGAGGUGAGUGGAAUUCCGAGUGUAGAGGUGAAAUUCGUAGAUAUUCGGAGGAACACCAGUGGCGAAGGCGGCUCACUGGCUCGAUACUGACGCUGAGGUGCGAAAGCGUGGGGAGCAAAACAGGAUUAGAUACCCUGGUAGUCCACGCCGUAAACGAUGAAUGCCAGUCGUCGGGUUGCAUGCAAUUCGGUGACACACCUAACGGAUUAAGCAUUCCGCCUGGGGAGUACGGUCGCAAGAUU
rnacentral:rRNA from 1 species